AAAGCCGCGCGGCGCGUUUGCAACAUUCUGUAACUUUCCCGGGAGGGCGGUUCCUCUGCCUCUCUGCAGCAAGAUGGGGACAGGAGCCCGCGACCCUGAGGAUUGCCACUGCUUGCAAACAGGCUGCAGUGUUGCUGUGAACAUGGGAGCGCAGAUGGUUUCACUCCUGGUUUCUGUUGUUUUGCAGAAGUACCCAGAAAGGUGUUUCAUUCCUUGACUUAAAGAAACUGAACAGUAGAAGAAAGAACACUGGGUGGCAGAUGGGGCCACAAUGAAGUACAGGAGGAGGUGUCCCUGCGAAGUCAGCAUCAGCCCCAGAUCACCCUACGAGCCGCUCUUGACAUACAUACUGAAUCGGAAUAGUCCUUGUGAUCUCUGAAAUUUUGAGUUCUCUCCAAAUUGAAGCGGGAGGCAGCAGUUAUCAGGAACAACGAGUUAAGAGAAAUACGUACUAAAUCAGACAGCCAGUAUUUGGGGUCAGUAAUAUGUUUCUAAGAUGCUCACAAGAUUUGGAAACCAGCGAGCAAAUCGGCUGAAAUCAAGCAAUGCCAAUCGGCGAGAGAACACCAUGAGGCCCCUGCUAAAGCAAAGUGGCCAUUCUUUCUGACCUCGCAGCCAUCCACGAUCACAGAAGCUUGUUUUACGCAUUUGGCUUCAGAUUAAAAUUUGAACUACACUGAAAUUAGAUAUUUGGGUGUCUGGGACUAGCUAAUUAGUCCUAUCCAACUGGUAAGCUCAACCAAAUACAGUGGAGCCAGGAUGGGAACGCCUCUGGUGCAAAACGCAAUAGGAAGCACAAGAUCCACUUCCCAGGCUGGAGAGGGCGGGGCCCUUCAGACCCACCCUGAGUGGGCGGUGACCACAGGCGGCUCCCUGCCUCUGUGACGUCACGGAAGCCCCGCCCACAGCUGUCAGCCACUGCCCAUACCAAGCUGCAUGCUGGCCCUGGGAAGUUGCCCCUUCCUGGGGUCAUGAUGGGCAGCAAAAUGGCGUCUGCCACCGGAUUAUCCAGAAUUAAAACAUGCUUCAGAAAGUAAUCUUCUAAAACUACAAACUGAGAAUAAAAAACCUGAGAAAGGAGCUGGACAGUAUGGAAAAUUCCAACAAAAUAAAGAUCAUACAACAAAGCCUACACACAGAGAUGGAGCUUGCUGCAGUUACUCAACAUGUGGUCUAGUAUAGAACAUCAUUUUGGGGUGUAAAGUCAACUGGGCAGCAGAGCCAGCACUCAGGGAAACUGUUCUGCAGCUUGAAAAGGCUCUCACCGCAAUCUAACAAGAAUUCCACUGGACCCGGUGCUGCCAUGUGUGCCUUUGAUCUCAGCACUCAGGAGGCUGAAACAAGAGGAUUGCCACUUGCUGAAGACCAGCAAAGAUUUGCACCUUGCAGUUUUUGGAUCUGAUAUGUCAUUUAAAUAGCAAAUUUCAAGUGAAAUGAAUUUGUGAUGUUUGGGGAACGCUCCUAAUCUGUAAUCGCUUUUUAGCUUCAGUUAACACUCUAACAUAGAAUCAGUCAUUUUAAAUAACACUAAAGUGACUGUGUACUCUUAAAAGGGGAAUGUCUUAGUCAUAGAAAAGCUACCUGGUCUGAUAUCUGAGGAGCAGGCGCAGUUUUGGACAUUCACAAAGUCCCAGCAUUUAAUUGUAAUACUUGUGUGCAUUUCUGCAUUUGUCAGUGAGGAUGCAGACAAGUCUCCAGAGUGUCAGCAGCUGGUAAAAUUCAUAGUGGGGUUAUGAGUAACUGUCUUCUGUUCUCUCUGUGUCUGUUUCUCCCCUCACACAUACUUCUGCACACGCACAUACAUAAUGCUGGCUACACCCUGGCAAUGCUGAUGUACAGUGACAUCCAUGCCCAUUUUCAGUUCUGUUUGGAGACAAGGUCUUGCCAACUUACCAAGGCUGGCUUCAGACUUGGAACCCUCCUGAACAACUGGGAUUACAAGCAUGUACUGCCAUGUCCAGUACAAAGCUCUUUAUUAAUUAGAAGCUAUUGAGCAUAUUUAUGGACAGUGUGAUGUUUUCAG